CGAACGACAGCCUUAUCCUCCUUCCCUUUCGAUCUCCCCUCACCCACACACCACUCUUCUGCCAUCCCCAUUCCCUCUGCAUCUCUCUCUCGUCGGCAACUCCCCCGGCGAACUGCGGCGGCAGCGCGAGGAACCCGAGAAGAUCUCCGGCGUGGGGUGAGUGCGUGGCAUGGUGGGCUCCGGGGGACGCGCGAUGCAUGGGGGUCGAUGUGCGGCGGCCGGGGAGGAGGGCAGCGGCUGCCGAUUGGCGCAACACCGCGGUGCGAUAGCACCGCACCACCCUCCUGGCGUGGUGCGCCGCUCUCACCCCAACCCCCACCCACCUGAGAUGCAGCCCGCUCAACCCCAGCGGCGCGGCCGCACCCCACCCGUGUGAUGACGACAACCUCGGCGGCGAGAGAGGAGGAGUGGCCUUUGCCGGCAGCCAUGAGCAGCGAUGACAACCACCUCUAGGCUUCUGCUGCUCUCCCCCCGGCGCGGGGCUGCGUCGACGACGCCCGCGGCGACAACGACCAUGUCCACGCAUCUGCCGCUCCCCUGACGUGGUGCUGCGCUCCGACGACAGGCCGCGGGGACGAUGACCAUCCCAGCCUUCUGCGCUCCCCGACGUGGUCACGAACGCGAGCUGCCCCACUCCCGACGGGGAGCUUGGAGAUCAGCACCGGUGUGCUAGUCAGAGCUCUGCUCGGUAAUUCCCAUUCUUCCAUUUCUACGUUUCGUUUUGCUCUAGCGAUGCAUACAUCAGAAGUGAAUCGGCUGGGCAGAGGUGAACUAGGUCACCUUCUUUUGAAUAUGUCAACUGAACCAGUAGAACAACCUUUUUCUGUGUAUUUCAUUACCACUUUAUUGUCUGAAAAUCAUUUGUUUUGUGUGAUCUGAACAAAACAGAGAUGCAUACUAGUCUUCCAAGACGGAAUGGCAAUUUUUGUCCCUAGAUUUGUUGUAGUGGUGAUAGGCUAUGAGAUUUGCAGCUGAGAUUUGAGAAGAAAAUAAAUGAUCAGAGUAUGUGCGCUGAAUUUCUGUAGUGGGGAAAGGGACAUUUAGAGUUUGUGGUCAUCUUCGUUGAAUGGCACCAGAGAUAAUUAAACUGAAAAGGGAUAUGGAGUAAUCAAAGCUUGCUUUUCAUUUAGAGAGAAGGAUUCAGGACUAAACAUGUAUUGUACUAUACAUUUUUUCUUAAAUUUGUUGUCUCACUGUAUAAUUUUUCUUGAAUUUUCCUAGAAGAUGGCAAAUAUAGUUAUCGAAUCAUGGCAAAUUUAGUUAUCGGAUCAUGGAAAAUUCAUUGUUUUCUUGCCAUGGCAACUUUGAUUUUGGAUCAUGGCGUAAUUUUACUCUUUUCUACCAUGGCAUUUUUCGGUAGACCAUGGCAACUAAUCUUAUACUUUUUGACCAUGUAAACAUCAAAAAAAUUAGUUAAUUAAUCAUGGCAAAUUUAGUUUACACAUCAUAGCAAAUUUGCUUCCUAGAAGAUGGAAAAUAUAAUUAUCAAAUCAAGGCAAUUUUAGUCCUUGGAUCAUGGCAAAUUCAUUGCUUUAUUGUCACGGCAACUUUUGAUUUUUAAAAUUGUCGUUGUAAUUCUUUAUAUGGUCAAAACAACAAAAUGGCAAAUAUUGCCGUGGCAAGUUUUAGUAAUUAUUUUACCUUUAUUAACAUGGCGAAUUUAACUAAAUCCCUAGGGCAUUUUUUUUAAAUUUAUUGCCAUGGCAAGUUUUACUAUUUAUUUUCCACGACAAGUUUACCUUUUAUUAACAUGGCAAAUUCACCUAAAUCGCCAUGGCCAUUUUUAUAUUUUAUUUCCAUGACAAGUUAAUUAAUUCACCUUUAUUAACAUGGAUUUACCUAAAUCCCCAUGACAAUUUUUUAACAUUUAUUGCCAUGGCAAGUUUUACUAUUUAUUUGCAAUGGCAAAUUUACCUUUUAUUAACAUGGCAAAUUUACCUAAAUCCACAUGGCCAUUUUUUAAUAUUUAUUGCCAUGCCAAGUUUUACUACUUAUUUUCCAUGGAAAAUUUACCUUUUAUUAACAUGGCAAAUUUACAAUCCCCAUGGCCAGUUUUUAAUUUUACUGUCAUGACAAGUUUUACUAUUUAUUUGACUUUUAUUAAAUUGGCAAAUUUAUUUAAAUCCCCAUGGCAAUAUUUGAACUUUUAUUGCCAUGGCUAAAAUACCUUCAUUAACAUUGCAAAUUUACCUAAAUCCCCAUGGCAAUAUAUAACUUUAUUGCCAUGACAAGUUUUUUUUACCGAUGGCAAUUUAACCCUUGUUAACAUGGCAAAUUUACCUAAAUUCCCAUGGCAAUUUUUAACUUUUAAUUGCCAUGGCAAGACUUAUUACUUAUUCGAUCUUUAUUAUGUUGCCAUGGCAAACUACUUGCGUUAUACCAAAGUUUGGCUUGGAUUUUGUAACAAUAAGCAAAAAACAUGUAUUUUUUGGAUUGGAUUUUUAACCAUAGCAAACUGAUUGCUUUUGGUCAUGGAAAAUUUGUUUUAUAUAAACAUGGACAUUUUUUGUUGAAACAUUUUUGUUGCCAAAGUUUCUUCUACGUGUUCUUAAAUUCUAGCAGUUUUUUUUCAUUUUCAUAAUUAGUAUGGAUCCAUUUUUCCAACUUGAUGACAGUUUUAAUAUACAUAUUGUGGCAAAAAAUAUAUUUUCCUAUUCAUAAUCAGGUUCAGAUCCCAGCUUUUUUAAGGCUGAGUUCAAAUCCCAGCUUGAAGACUUGAUAGUAGUGGAAAAUUGGGCUUUUUUUAUGAUCAUGUUAUGUUUUCUUACCGCUGAACUGUCGUGGGGUGAUGGGAGGCCCACUACUAGGCCUGGUCGUGCCUGAUAUGGUGGGCUGCUGCGUUCGUGCUGGGGGUGAAUCUUGCCGUACUAAAGCGUUCGAUCGAUCGCUCCCCUGUACCGAACGAGUUGUUCGGGCUGGGGAGCUCCCAGACCGAACGUUCGGUACUUAUCGGCGUCCAAAAAAUAUGGUAAACAUCAAUCUUCUCUGCUACCCACGGUCCGAUCCCUUUUCCUUCGCUCGAGUCUCCGCCCGUCCCGUCGCCAGCCGGUGCCCACUCCGGACAUGGCAGCGAUGGGUCUGGCGCUGGGGGGCAGGCAUGCGGAGCUGGAGCGAAGGCCGGCGGCAAGCGACGGCGGCGCUGGCCUCCCCCCGUCCUCCUCGUCCCAGGCUGAGAGGUGAGCCGGCCAAGCCCUUACUUUCUUUAUCCUUUUUUUUUUUCUUUGCUGAAAGCGACCCAAAAUUGUGAGUUUGCCCCCCUGCAUCCCAGCAGAAUUCAUCGCUUUGUCGUACACACUUGCACACUAAAUCUGCAUUUAUUUCUUAGAUCUGUGGUGCAUGAACGUGGUUAUACUGUUAAUCGAGGACUAGGUGUUGGGAAGAAAAUGAAAUGAAGAUUUUUCCUUUUUCCCGUGAUGCAGUAUACACAGGUAGUGCUAAUUUUUUUUUGAGCAUCAGUACAGACACAAACGCUCAUAUACACGCGCAUACACUUAUCCUUAUGAACGCACACACGCACAACCUACCCCUAUGAGCACCUCCGAGAGACUGAGCCGGCAUAUCAUCUUGAGAUUUAUGAAGCCACCGUAGGCGCCUAGUCGUCGACGGGAACGCAGGGACGAAGCUUGAAAAAAAGGUUGAUGGGGUCAUAUCCAUGGCAAUGGGGUCAUCUUCUAUAAAUCAACAGUGAUUAGUACUAAGUUAAUGAAGGAUUUAGUAAUUUCAUUGGGGUCAAUUGCUUAGGCGCCUCGUCGUCGACGGGAACGUCUCCUCCCAUUAAAAGCGCAUCGCCGGAAAUCCUGAAAUAAAUCCAGGAAUAAUGCGAGCACCAGGAUUUGAACCCUGGUGGGUUGGUGAUACCACUGUCCACCUAACCAACUCAACCACAAGUUGAUUCGUAGGUAGUGCUAAUUUAUUAAGGCAUGUUAAACAUUGUAUUCUGUGUAUAUACAUGGUGUACGUAUAAACCGCGUAUAUCACGUUGUGUGCGUGCGUGUGUAUCACGUUAGGAAGUUGGGGCCGGUAGGAUCGAUCUCAUAUGUCGUUGUAGCUAUCCUGUAGAUUAGAGAUCGAUCCUAACCUCCUCUAACUCAUGUGCUUGUAAUCUCCUAUGCCUAUAUUAACACAUACGCGUCUCUGCUACGUCAGCAUACGCUUAACCUAAUUCUCACAUGGUAUACAGAGCCAUCGCUCUUCAUCGCAUCUAGCCAUGUCGAGUUCUUCAUCUUCCGCCGCCAUGAUUGCACCCUCGAUCGCUGCUCUUGGCCACACCAUCACCGAGAAGCUCACGCGCGAGAACUUUCUCGUGUGGAGGGCGCAAGUCCUGCCGCACAUCAAGGCGGCAGGGAUGACCGGCUACAUCGACGGCUCCAUCAAGGAGCCCGCUGCUGAGAUCGCCACGGAGAAAGAAGUCUCCGGCAAGAAGGUGGUCACCUUCGUGGCCAACCCCGAGCACGCCAUAUGGGUCACCCAGGACCAGCAGGUUCUUACUUUUUUGAUUGCAUCGCUAUCCUGAGAGGUCUUGAUGCAGGUCAGCACAUGCACUACCGCGGCGACGCUCUGGGCUGCGCUCCUGCAGAGUUUCUCGUCGCAAUCCAGGGCGAGGGUGAUCCAGCUCCGCUCACAGCUCGAGCAUACCCGCAAGGGCGACCUUUCUGCGGCGGCCUACUUCACCAAGAUGAAGGGCAUCGCCGACGAACUUGCAGCCGCCGGCAAGUCGCUUGAUGAGGAUGAUGUGGUCGACCACAUCCUGCAAGGUCUUCUUCAUGAACCGGACUACAAUGGGUUCGUCUCCGCCAUCUCCACGCGCACGGCAACCGAGUAGCCGAUCGGCCUCAACGAGCUUUUCUCGCUGCUUCUCUCCGCCGAGGCUCGCAUCGCCGCCCAGACCGCCUCCUACUCCGUGAAUCUUGCGGCCAGGGGUGGUGGCCGCGGCGGCGGCAACUAUAGCUGCCCUGGUGGCGGCAACGACGGUGGCUCCCGCGGCUUCAACAACAACAACGCGGGUGGCCAGUGCUACCCCGACAACUCUGGCAACGGCGGCUCUGGAGGCGCGCCGCGACAAGGUGGUGGUGACCGCGGUGAUCGCGGUGACCGCGAGAAGUGCCAGAUCUGCAAGAUGGAGGGGCAUGGAGCUUGGCGCUGCAGAAAGCGCUAUGAUCGCGACUACAACAACAACGUCCGCAACCCUGCGGGCGGAGGUGGUGGUGGAGGGAACCGUUCGGCCAAUGCUGUUCACUCCUAUGGAGUGGACACAAAUUGGUACCUCGACACCGGAGCAACCGAUCAUGUGACAGGGGAGCUGGAGAAGCUUGCUGUUCGGGAUCGGUACACUGGCACGGAACAAAUCCAAACUGCGAGUGGUCAAGGACCGAGCCACCCGGAGAACCGUUCUUCAAAGCAAGAGUAGGGGACGGUUGUUCCUUAUUUCUGGCCGCCAUGAUGCUCCCUCUCGUCAAGCUCUCACUGUGAUCAAGCCAUCUACCUCAAGAUGGCACAAGCGCCUAGGGCAUCCUGCCUUUCCAGUGGUCCAGAAAAUUCUUCGAGAUUUUAGUCUUUCAGUUUCCAAUAAAAAGGAUCAUCUCCUUGUGUGUGAUUCAUGUCAGAUGGCCAAGAGUCAUCAACUUCCUUAUUCUCGUUUACUAGUGAAUCAAAGGCUCCUUUAGAGCUAGUUUUUUCAGAUGUGUGGGGUCCUCGACCCAUUUCUGUUGGUAGACAAAAGUACUAUGUUGGAUCUAUUUUCUUAAGAAUAUGUCUGAUGUAUUUGCAAAGUUUCAUCUUUUCCAACAACAUGUUGAACGUCUCUUUGAUCACGAAAUCCUUGCCAUGCAAAAGGACUGGGGUGGUGAAUACCAAAAACUCCAUUCUUUCUUUGAUCGCAUGGGCAUCACUCAUCAUGUUUCCUGUCCACAUGCCCACCAACAGAAUGGCUCCGCUGAAAAAAAACAUAGCCACAUAGUGGAGGUGGGCCUCUCCCUCCUUGCGCAUGCCUACAUGCCAUUGAAGUUUUGGGACGAAGCGUUCCUCACAGCCGUCUAUCUCAUCAAUCAUGUUCCUAGCAGAGUCAUUAAUAACCAAACCCCUCUUGAACGUCUCUUUGGCACCAAACCAAACUACACAUUCCUUCGCAUUUUUGGUUGUGCAGUUUGGCCAAAUCUACAUCCUUUUAAUAAGCACAAGCUAGAGUUUCGUUCAAAACAGUGUGUUUUUCUGGGGUACAGUAGUCUUCAUAAGGGCUACAAGUGUUUGGAUGUUGCUACCGGACGUGUCUAUUUUUCUCGCGAUGUGGUUUUUGAUGAACAAGUGUUUCCUUUUGCCAAACUCCACCCCAACGCCGGCGCUCAACUUCGCAAAGAGCUUGUUCUUCUACCCGCCCAUCUCCUCCCAUCGCCAAACUUUAUCCCCGGGGGUGUAGUAGAUCCUGCUGACCAUGUGUCCAUGUCUCAUGACUCUAUUGAUCAAAACUCUGCUGAAAGUGUGCAGGAAUAUAAUGAAGCUUUUGGAGAAAACUCGUAUGAUUUUAUGUCAGGAUCCAAAACUACAGCACACGCCGCAGAAGAUCCGGACGGCGAUCCCGGAGCUGAUCUGGGCGGGAUCCCCUCGGGAUCAGCCUCGUCAGGCGCACCAGGCAGGCCAGGCGAAUCGCCUCUGGGAUCCGCGUCGGUGUCAGCCAGGCGGCCUGCACCUGUGGCUGGAUUUGGUGGGCCAGGCGCACAUGGCACCGGUCGGCCCUUGUCGCAUCCGCGGGUCACGUCUGUGUCGCGGCCAGGAGGGCCCUCUGCGCGCGGCUCCGGUCGGCUGCCGCCCAACCAGCCACUAGAGACCAACCCAGACGCGCCAAGUGGCCGCUUCGGGGAGGCGGGCGUCCUCAUCUGCUGAUUCGCUCGAGCCACAACAGGAGUUCUCUCCUGGAUCUUCUGUGGACUCCGGAUUGGCCGUGUCUUCUUCUUCCAAUCGACUUCAGCAAUGUAACUCGCAACCUGCUCCGCCGCUUCCUGCACGCUCCCAUACCAGGUCACAAAGUGGUAUUGUUCAGCCUAAAAUCUAUAUAGAUGGUUGUGUUCGUUGGGGUUCUUUUUGUGCCACAGGAGGACCGCAGAAUCUGGGGGAAGAACUAGGUGAACGCAGAUGGAAGGAGGCAAUGGAUGAGGAAUAUGAUGCUCUUAUGAAAAACAAGACAUGGUGUUUGGUUCCACCAGUCAAGGGGAGGAAUCUUAUUGACUGCAAGUGGGUCUAUAAGGUCAAACGAAAAUCUGAUGGCACUAUUGACAGGUAUAAGGCAUGUUUAGUUGCCAAAGGGUUUAAACAGAGGGACGGGCUUGAUUACGAGGACACAUUUAGUCCUGUAGUAAAAGCAGCUACUAUCAGAAUAAUUCUUUCAGUUGCAGUCUCUAGAAACUGGUGCAUUCGACAGCUAGAUGUAAAGAACACGUUCUUGCAUGGUGUUCUUGAAGAGGAAGUGUUCAUGAGGCAACCGCCUGGGUAUGAAAACUCCAGAUUUCCACGUCAUGUCUGUAAGCUUGAGAAGGCAUUGUAUGGGCUGAAACAGGCACCUAGGGCUUGGUACUCUCGGUUAUCUUCAAAGUUGCAAUCUCUGGGGUUCUCUCCAUCUAGCGGAUACACCUCAUUGUUCUUUUAUCACAAGCAUGGGAUAACCAUUUUUAUGCUCAUUUAUGUUGAUGAUAUUGUUGUCACAAGUUCCUCAUCUCAAGCAGUUGAAGCUCUCCUCAAGGACUUGAGAAAGGACUUUGCACUAAAGGACCUGGGCAACCUGCAUUUCUUUCUUGGAAUUGAGGUAAAACAUGUACCAAGUGGAAUUGUGUUGUCACAGGAGAAAUAUGUACAAGAAAUAUUUCAGCGGAUGGGCAUGAAGACAUGUAAGCCAUCACCUACACCUUUGUCUGUCUCUAAAAAAUUGUCCCUUCAUGAUGGAGAGGCACUUGGGGCAGAAGAUGUCACCAGGUAUAGAAGUGUUGUAGGAGCAUUGCAAUACUUGACUUUGACUAGGCCAGAUAUUUCAUACUCACUAAACAAAGUUUGUCAAAUUUUUACAUGCUCCUACUAGUGUCCAUUGGACAGCCGUAAAAAGGAUACUUAGAUAUCUUCAAGGAACCAAAGGUCAUGGUUUAAAAUUUGGAAAGUCAGAUUCUAUGCUAGUUAGUGCUUUUUCAGAUGCAGACUGGCCAGGCUGUCCUGAUGACAGGAGGUCAAUAGGAGGCUUUGCAGUAUUCCUUGGAGGUAAUUUGAUAUCCUGGUGUGCUCGCAAGCAACCUACUGUUUCUCGGUCCAGUACAGAAGCUGAGUACAAGGCAUUAGCCAAUGCUACUGCUGAAAUUAUUUGGGUCCAACAUUUGCUGACAGAACUGGGUGUUCAUCAUCCAAAAGCUGCAUCGCUCUGGUGUGAUAAUCUUGGUGCCACAUACCUAUUUGCUAAUCCUAUAUUUCAUGCCAGGACAAAAUAUAUUGAAAUUGACUAUCAUUUUGUUCGUGAACGGGUGGCUGAAAAAUUGUUGAAUAUAAGGUUUAUACCCACUGGUGAUCAAGUUGAGGAUGGAUUCACUAAGCCACUUACUUUGCAAUAG
rnacentral:rRNA from 1 species